UUCCUACGGGGCGCAGCAGUGGGGAAUAUUGCACAAUGGGGGAAACCCUGAUGCAGCAACGCCGCGUGAGUGAUGACGGCCUUCGGGUUGUAAAGCUCUGUCUUCAGGGACGAUAAUGACGGUACCUGAGGAGGAAGCCACGGCUAACUACGUGCCAGCAGCCGCGGUAAUACAUAGGGGGCAAGCGUUAUCCGGAAUUAUUGGGUGUAAAGGGUGCGUAGACGGAAGAACAAGUUGGUUGUGAAAUCCCUCGGCUCAACUGAGGAACUGCAACCAAAACAAUUCUCCUUGAGUGUCGGAGAGGG
rnacentral:rRNA from 1 species